rnacentral:rRNA from 1 species
AGUGGCGAACGGGUGAGUAACAUAUCGGAACGUGCCUAGUAAUGGGGAACAACUAAUCGAAAGAUUAGCUAAUACCGCAUACGACCUACGGGUGAAAGCAGGGGAUCUUCGGACCUUGCGUUAUUAGAGCGGCCGAUAUCUGAUUAGCUUGUUGGUAGGGUAAAAGCCUACCAAGGCGACGAUCAGUAGCUGGUCUGAGAGGACGAUCAGCCACACUGGAACUGAGACACGGUCCAGACUCCUACGGGAGGCAGCAGUGGGGAAUUUUGGACAAUGGGGGCAACCCUGAUCCAGCCAUUCCGCGUGAGUGAAGAAGGCCUUCGGGUUGUAAAGCUCUUUCGCAAGAGAAGAAAGCUUGUUAUUUAAUAAAUAGUAAGUAUGACGGUAUCUUGACAAGAAGCACCGGCUAACUAUGUGCCAGCAGCCGCGGUAAUACAUAGGGUGCAAGCGUUAAUCGGAAUUACUGGGCGUAAAGCGUUCGCAGGCGGUCUUAUAAGUCAGAUGUGAAAUCCCCGAGCUCAACUUGGGAACUGCGUUUGAAACUGUAAGACUAGAGUGUGUCAGAGGGGGGUAGAAUUCCAUGUGUAGCAGUGAAAUGCGUAGAUAUGUGGAGGAAUACCAAUGGCGAAGGCAGCCCCCUGGGAUAACACUGACGCUCAUGAACGAAAGCGUGGGGAGCAAACAGGA